rnacentral:rRNA from 1 species
AUUGAACGCUGGCGGCAGGCCUAACACAUGCAAGUCGAGCGGAUGACGGGAGCUUGCUCCUUGAUUCAGCGGCGGACGGGUGAGUAAUGCCUAGGAAUCUGCCUGGUAGUGGGGGACAACGUUUCGAAAGGAACGCUAAUACCGCAUACGUCCUACGGGAGAAAGCAGGGGACCUUCGGGCCUUGCGCUAUCAGAUGAGCCUAGGUCGGAUUAGCUAGGUGGUGGGGUAAUGGCUCACCAAGGCGACGAUCCGUAACUGGUCUGAGAGGAUGAUCAGUCACACUGGAACUGAGACACGGUCCAGACUCCUACGGGAGGCAGCAGUGGGGAAUAUUGGACAAUGGGCGAAAGCCUGAUCCAGCCACGCCGCGUGUGUGAAGAAGGUCUUCGGAUUGUAAAGCACUUUAAGUUGGGAGGAAGGGCAGUAAGUUAAUACCUUGCUGUUUUGACGUUACCGACAGAAUAAGCACCGGCUAACUCUGUGCCAGCAGCCGCAGUAA